GGUGGAUGCCCGGCAGUGGGUGCAGAGGGCAGGAAGGAGCUGCGUGUGCCCUGCCCGGGGAGUGUCUGGUGCGACACUGCCAGGAACUCACAGGUGGAAAGAGUAAAGUGAUCUGCUGGAUUUACAUUGAGAACGAGAGAUGGGUGGAUCCUAUACUUAGAAGGGCAAAGGAACUUCACAUGGCAAAAGGUUAGUCUGGCUUCCAGCAGAGGCAAAAGUGAAUAACAAGCCAAUCAACAUGCAAAAUGUUGAAGAAAGCAGCUCAGCACACAGCCAGCAGCCAAACGUGAGAUUAGCAUGUGGCUGCAGACAGGAAAGUGAGUCUUUGGUUGUCUUCCUGAGCCUGCACAUCUCUCCCUGUAUCUUCUGAAUCAUAUUUCUGUUGUUGCCUGGUCAAAAUGAGCUGUUCCUCCUGUCAGCAGUGGAUGAUUAAUGCAGUGACAGAAGUAUGGCCAGGUUGUAUUCAUUGCCAAGUACCAGUGAGGAUCUUCAUUUUGCCUGUUAGGAGCUUUGGCACUGUAUCCCGAAGUGUGAGCCCCCAGUUUUGUUCUGGGAUGGUAAAAGCAGGUAACAUGGGGAUAUGUCCUGGUGGUGCUAACUGGCCCUUGCAGUGUUUGGCACAUAGGACCCGACUCUGACAUGUAGAUGCACCUGGUCUGGCUUUACAUGAGGAAGUUUGAUCCCAUUUACAGUGUGGGAUUCUGCCUCUGCUGUGCCCAAGUGGUACAACCCCUUUUACUUUAGUAGAUUUGACUUGAGGAACCCAUUGUCCAAAGACAUUUAGUUUGUGGCUCAAAGAGUUUUCUGUUGAACAAACCCAGGUCUAUUAUUAGAGUGGUAUUGGAGGACCUGCUUUUGGUAGAUGAUCUGGCCCUUGCCUUUCGAUGCCAAGUGUGAGCCUGCUUGCAUAACGAAGCUCUUUUUCCUUGUGGGAAGAGCUGGCACUGGCAACUGAGCCGAGACCACUGGGCUCCCUCUGGAUGGCCACACUUUAAAGAUUUUGGAAGGUUGCAAAUUCUAGCCUGUGGGUUGUUCAACCAGUGAUUUGAAAAUGAAAAUGUCUGAAUUGCAUCACAAAUCCUCUGAGGCAUCCAGCACGUUUUUUUUUUAUUAUUCAACAUGUUUUUAACUCAUUUUUUUAGCAUUUCUGGAAUUCACAUUAGCUAUCAUAAGACUAGAUUGA